rnacentral:rRNA from 1 species
GUCGAGCGGUAGCACAGAGAGCUUGCUCUCGGGUGACGAGCGGCGGACGGGUGAGUAAUGUCUGGGAAACUGCCUGAUGGAGGGGGAUAACUACUGGAAACGGUAGCUAAUACCGCAUAACGUCGCAAGACCAAAGUGGGGGACCUUCGGGCCUCAUGCCAUCAGAUGUGCCCAGAUGGGAUUAGCUGGUAGGUGGGGUAACGGCUCACCUAGGCGACGAUCCCUAGCUGGUCUGAGAGGAUGACCAGCCACACUGGAACUGAGACACGGUCCAGACUCCUACGGGAGGCAGCAGUGGGGAAUAUUGCACAAUGGGCGCAAGCCUGAUGCAGCCAUGCCGCGUGUGUGAAGAAGGCCUUCGGGUUGUAAAGCACUUUCAGCGGGGAGGAAGGCGGUGAGGUUAAUAACCUCAUCGAUUGACGUUACCCGCAGAAGAAGCACCGGCUAACUCCGUGCCAGCAGCCGCGGUAAUACGGAGGGUGCAAGCGUUAAUCGGAAUUACUGGGCGUAAAGCGCACGCAGGCGGUCUGUCAAGUCGGAUGUGAAAUCCCCGGGCUCAACCUGGGAACUGCAUUCGAAACUGGCAGGCUAGAGUCUUGUAGAGGGGGGUAGAAUUCCAGGUGUAGCGGUGAAAUGCGUAGAGAUCUGGAGGAAUACCGGUGGCGAAGGCGGCCCCCUGGACAAAGACUGACGCUCAGGUGCGAAAGCGUGGGGAGCAAACAGGAUUAGAUACCCUGGUAGUCCACGCUGUAAACGAUGUCGAUUUGGAGGUUGUGCCCUUGAGGCGUGGCUUCCGGAGCUAACGCGUUAAAUCGACCGCCUGGGGAGUACGGCCGCAAGGUUAAAACUCAAAUGAAUUGACGGGGGCCCGCACAAGCGGUGGAGCAUGUGGUUUAAUUCGAUGCAACGCGAAGAACCUUACCUGGUCUUGACAUCCACAGAACUUUCCAGAGAUGGAUUGGUGCCUUCGGGAACUGUGAGACAGGUGCUGCAUGGCUGUCGUCAGCUCGUGUUGUGAAAUGUUGGGUUAAGUCCCGCAACGAGCGCAACCCUUAUCCUUUGUUGCCAGCGGUUAGGCCGGGAACUCAAAGGAGACUGCCAGUGAUAAACUGGAGGAAGGUGGGGAUGACGUCAAGUCAUCAUGGCCCUUACGACCAGGGCUACACACGUGCUACAAUGGCAUAUACAAAGAGAAGCGACCUCGCGAGAGCAAGCGGACCUCAUAAAGUAUGUCGUAGUCCGGAUUGGAGUCUGCAACUCGACUCCAUGAAGUCGGAAUCGCUAGUAAUCGUAGAUCAGAAUGCUACGGUGAAUACGUUCCCGGGCCUUGUACACACCGCCCGUCACACCAUGGGAGUGGGUUGCAAAAGAAGUAGGUA